rnacentral:rRNA from 1 species
UACGGAGGGUGCGAGCGUUGUCCGGAAUCACUGGGCGUAAAGCGCGCGCAGGCGGUCUUCCAAGUCAGUGGUGAAAGCCCGGAGCUCAACUCCGGAAUUGCCAUUGAAACUGUUAGACUUGAGGAUGAGAGAGGUGAGUGGAAUUCCCAGUGUAGAGGUGAAAUUCGUAGAUAUUGGGAAGAACACCGGUGGCGAAGGCGGCUCACUGGCUCAUUACUGACGCUCAGGCGCGAUAGCGUGGGGAUCAAACAGG